AUGUUUGGACAGAUUCGUUGGGGAGGUAUCCCUGCCCUACCCAUGUCGUUUCCCCGGGGAAACGUUCCACGCCUCCAGGGGUCGGGGAGAGAAGCCACGGCUCGAGCGAGACCGCAAGCGCAGCGACCGAAAGGCAACAACGGCCAAGAUCCAGUCCUCCGCCUCCGAGUUUCUCCGGCAGCGACCGAAGAGACGGACCGCCCCCUCCCUCCGGUGCUCCGCCUGCAUGCUCCGCCCACCAGCGACCGCGACGGCCGUGGUCGUCACCCUCCUCCUUCCCCAGAUCUACCCUCCUCCUCAAAGUUCCUGCCCCUCCGAUGA
rnacentral:rRNA from 1 species